CCGCACAAGCGGUGGAGUAUGUGGUUAAUUCGACGCAACGCGCAGAACCUUACCUAGACUUGACAUCCCGGGAUUUCUGGAAACAGAGAAGUGCUUUAGCAAUAAAGAACCCGGUGACAGGUGCUGCAUGGCUGUCGUCAGCUCGUGUCGUGAGAUGUUGGGUUAAGUCCCGCAACGAGCGCAACCCUCGCCUUUAGUUGCCAGCAUUCAGUUGGGCACUCUAGAGGGACUGCCGGUAAUAAACCGGAGGAAGGUGGGGAUGACGUCAAACCAUCAUGCCCCUUAUGACCUGGGCUACACACGUGCUACAAUGGUUGGUACAACGAGUUGCGAGUCGGUGACGGCGAGCUAAUCUCUUAAAGCCAAUCUCAGUUCGGAUUGUAGGCUGCAACUCGCCUACAUGAAGUCGGAAUCGCUAGUAAUCGCGGAUCAGCACGCCGCGGUGAAUACGUUCCCGGGCCUU
rnacentral:rRNA from 1 species